rnacentral:rRNA from 1 species
ACGCACGCUGGCGGCGUGCUUAACACAUGCCAGUCGAACGGUAAGGCCCCUUCGGGGGUACACGAGUGGCGAACGGGUGAGUAACACGUGGGUGAUCUGCCCUGCACUUCGGGAUAAGCCUGGGAAACUGGGUCUAAUACCGGAUAGGACCACGCUCUGCAUGGAGUGUGGUGGAAAGCUUUUGCGGUGUGGGAUGGGCCCGCGGCCUAUCAGCUUGUUGGUGGGGUGAUGGCCUACCAAGGCGACGACGGGUAGCCGGCCUGAGAGGGUGUCCGGCCACACUGGGACUGAGAUACGGCCCAGACUCCUACGGGAGGCAGCAGUGGGGAAUAUUGCACAAUGGGCGCAAGCCUGAUGCAGCGACGCCGCGUGGGGGAUGACGGCCUUCGGGUUGUAAACCUCUUUCAGUACCGACGAAGCGCAAGUGACGGUAGGUACAGAAGAAGCACCGGCCAACUACGUG